GAUGAAGAACGUAGCGAAAUGCGAUAAGUAAUGUGAAUUGCAGAAUUCAGUGAAUCAUCGAAUCUUUGAACGCAUCUUGCGCUCCUUGUUAUUCUGAGGAGCAUGCCUGUUUGAGUGUCAUUAAAUUCUCAACCGCACUGACUUUGAAUUGGUGUGGCUUGGAUUUGGGGGGAAAAUUGUUGUGGGCUUUUUUGUAUAGUCUGCUCCCCUGAAAUUGAUUAGCGGUACCUUUGUGGAACUGUCUACAGGUGUGAUAAUUAUCUACAUCCUAGACAUCUGCUGGAAUGCUGCUUUCUAAACCUUACUUGUAUUGACAAUCUUGACCUCAAAUCAGGUAGGACUACCCGCUGAACUUAAGCAUAUCAAUAAGCGGAGGA
rnacentral:misc_RNA from 1 species